rnacentral:rRNA from 1 species
AAUGGGCGCAAGCCUGAGGGAGCAACGCCGCGUGGAGGACGACGGCCUUCGGGUUGUAAACUCCUUUGGGGGGGACGAUGAUCGACGGUACCCCCCGAAUCAGCCCCCGGCUAACUCUGUGCCAGCAGCCGCGGUAAGACAGAGGGGGCAAGCGUUGUCCGGACUGACUGGGCGUAAAGCGCGCGCAGGCGGUCUGAGGCGUCGGUGCUUAAAGUCCACCGCUUAACGGUGGGAAAGGUGCCGAUACGCUCAGACUGGAGGGCGGGCGAGGGUGGUGGAAUUGCCGGUGUAGUGGUGAAAUGCGUAGAGAUCGGCAGGAACACCAGUGGCGAAGGCGGCCACCUAGCCCGCACCUGACGCUGAGGCGCGACAGCGUGGGGAGCGAACUGGAUUAGAUACCCAGGUAGUCCACGCCGUAAACGAUGCCGACUCGGUCUUCGUGGGGCGAAUAGCCCUGGGGGGGCCCGAGCUCACGCGCUAAGUCGGCCGCCUGGGGACUACGAGCGCAAGCUUA